UCCAAUAGUAAUAUUUUACGUCUCUUCUGUCUUUUAUCCCAGGGAGUGCUUUAGUAGACAAACAAACCACUGCAGGAAUUCAGUCUUCAUUAUGUCAAGAGCAGCAGAAGCUGGGUCACAGACCAUAUACUGCAUGUCCGCUGCUGUGAAAAUCCUCCUACCCCAGCACAUUUUGCCUGGGGGUAAGAAAAAGCUACAGGUGUACUGCCAGUGCUCUAUGGCCCUUCCCAGUUUCCUUCUGUGGAGUGAUUUGUUCCAUGAAUGUUCCCAGGAUCCUGUUCAAUCUUUGCUAAGGAUGUUAGUCAUAAAUGUAGAUACUAGAAUCAUGGAAAAAGAAAGGCUGAGAAAUGAAGGGGAAGGGGUACUAUAAAUGGUCUGGGAAGGUAAUAACAGCAGCUGUAAUAACAGAUAAUCAACCACACUCAUGUGACGGAAAAAUAAGAGGUACAACAUUUUAGAUUUUUCCUUUUAAAAACACUGCAGAAACAAAAAACUGAACUGAACAAUGCAAUUUAUGUGAUGUCUCUCACUGAGCAUUUUCCUUAAAAGUUAGAAGCUCCUUUCAAAAAGCUGCUGCAAAAUAAAGAAAAAAGUGUUCUUUUCAUCACCCGAUACUGGUUACUUUGGUUUUGCUUCUGUAAACCAAAAUACAACAUUAAAGUUUUCUUCCAUCACAA